rnacentral:rRNA from 1 species
GAUGAACGCUGGCGGCGUGCCUAACACAUGCAAGUCGAGCGAACGGACGAUAAGCUUGCUUCUUUGAUGUUAGCGGCGGACGGGUGAGUAACACGUGGAUAACCUACUUCUAUUUCUGGGAUAAUUACGGGAAAACGGAUCUAAUACCGGAUGAUAUUUUGAACCGCAUGGUUCAAAGGUGAAUGACGGCCUUGCUGUCACUUAUAGCUGGAUCCGCGCUGCAUUAGUUAGUUGGUAAGGUAACGGCUUACCAAGGCGACGAUGCAUAGCCGACCUGAGAGGGUGAUCAGCCACACUGGAACUGAGACACGGUCCAGACUCCUACGGGAGGCAGCAGUGGGGAAUAUUCGGCAAUGGGCGAAAGCCUGACGGAGCAACGCCGCGUGAGUGAAGAAGGUCUUCGGAUCGUAAAACUCUGUUAUUGGGGAAGAACAUAUGUGUAAGUAAAUGUGGACAUCUUGACGGUACCUAAUCAAAAAGCAACGGCUAACUACGUG